CCUACGGGAGGCAGCAGUGGGGAAUAUUGCACAAUGGGGGAAACCCUGAUGCAGCGACGCCGCGUGAAGGAAGAAGGAUUUCGGUAUGUAAACUUCUAUCAGCAGGGAAGAAAAUGACGGUACCUGACUAAGAAGCCGCGGCUAACUACGUGCCAGCAGCCGCGGGAACACGUAGGGGGCAAGCGUUAUCCGGAUUUACUGGGUGUAAAGGGAGCGUAGGCGGUUUAGCAAGUCAGAAGGGAAAGCCGGGGGCUCAACUCCGGGACUGCUUUUGAAACUGUUGAACUAGAUUGCAGGAGAGGGAAGUGGAAUUCCUAGUGUAGCGGUGAAAUGCGUAGAUAUUAGGAGGAACACCAGUGGCGAAGGCGGCUUACUGGACUGUAAAUGACGCUGAGGCUCGAAAGCGUGGGGAGCGAACAGGAUUAGAUACCCUAGUAGUC
rnacentral:rRNA from 1 species